UACGAAGGGGGGCUAGCGUUGCUCGGAAUCACUGGGCGUAAAGGGCGCGUAGGCGGCUUAACAAGUCACUUGUGAAAUCUCCGGGCUUAACUCGGAACGGCCAAGUGAAACUGUCAAGCUAGAGUGCAGAAGGGGCAAUCGGAAUUCUUGGUGUAGCGGUGAAAUGCGUAGAUAUCAAGAGGAACACCUGAGGUGAAGACGGGGUUGCUGGGCUGACACUGACGCUGAGGCGCGAAAGCCAGGGGAGCAAACGGG
rnacentral:rRNA from 1 species